rnacentral:rRNA from 1 species
UACGGAGGGUGCGAGCGUUGUCCGGAAUCACCGGGCGUAAAGGGCGCGUAGGCGGCCGUGUAAGUCACUUGUGAAAUCCCGGGGCUCAACUCCGGGGCUGCAGGUGAGACUGCAUGGCUAGAGCUUGGUAGAGGCGAGUGGAAUUCCCGGUGUAGCGGUGGAAUGCGUAGAUAUCGGGAAGAACACCGGUGGCGAAGGCGGCUCGCUGGGCCAAUGCUGACGCUGAGGCGCGAAAGCGUGGGGAGCAAACAGG